UUGCAUCGAUGAGAACGCAGCGAAAUGCGAUACGUAAUGUGAAUUGCAAAUUCAGUGAAUCAUCGAGUCUUUGAACGCACAUUGCGCCCCCUGGUAUUCCGGGGGGCAUGCCUGUCCGAGCGUCAUUGCUGCCCUCAAGCCCGGCUUGUGUGUUGGGCCCCGUCCUCCGAUUCCGGGGGACGGGCCCGAAAGGCAGCGGCGGCACCGCGUCCGGUCCUCGAGCGUAUGGGGCUUUGUCACCCGCUCUGUAGGCCCGGCCGGCGCUUGCCGAUCAACCCAAAUUUUUAUCCAGGUUGACCUCGGAUCAGGUAGGGAUACCCGCUGAACUUAAGCAUAUCAAUAAGGCGGAGGAA
rnacentral:rRNA from 1 species